UUCUAGAGAGAGAAAGUAAGAAAUGCAGGGACUCCAUAACUGUUUCACGAUCUAGUUUUCAUGAAAUUAAUUUUACUCGUCUGAAUCUUCCAAGCUUGAAACUAUCUCCAUCGGAAUCAAUUGUAUUUUGUAUGUAUUUGUAUGUAUAUGUACUGUUUAUGCAUUUUUAAUUCGAUUCUAUGUGAAUUCCCGUGAACUUAUUGACACGGAGCUAAAUUUUUGGUUUAAUUUGGGGGUGAAUUUGAAUAUUGGGUAAACAGGUUUUGAUUCUGUUUUUUGGGCCCUGAUUCUAUGCGAGCUCUGAACUUUUUGAUACGGAUCUAAAUUUCAAUUUUUCGUUUGAUUUUGUGUGAAUCAACUUCUAGAUACAGCGCCAAAAUUUUAGUUUAAUUUGGGGGUGAAUUUGAUUAUUUGAUUUUUAUUCAUCUUCAAUAUUCAAGUUUAAGGUAGCAUUUGACAGGGAUAAUGUAAAUUUCUAAUUAGGGCAUAAUUCCAUAUCAAUUGACUGAGCUUCUGCAAAAUACAUGGAUAAUCGUCAUCGAAAACCGGCAGGAUGGUCUAAUCAGUUAUACAACGAUGUCUCGAAUCUGCCGUGUGAUUUCAAUGGUUGUUGCUAUUGUAAGAAUGAAUGCUCGAUACAUUUCUGCAAAUGUUUCAUUAAUAAGUUGUUAUGUGGAGAACCUUGCCCUUGCAAAGAUUGCUGGAACGUUGUGGAAAACAGUGCAAAAGUUGCUGAAAUACGAGAAAAGACCGAAUCUAGUAUUAUUCUUCCAUGGGAUACUCAUGAAUUUAAUUCCAUACAAGUAGCACAAGGCAUUAUCAAUGAAGCACCCUCAACGAGCACUCUUCCAUCGAAUAUUCUUGAAUCCGAUUCCAAAGAAGUAGCACAAGACAUUAUCAAUGAAGCACCCUCAACGAGUACUCUUCCAUCAGAUAUUCUUGAAUCGGAAAAACAGGCUGAAGUUCCCGAAAUGCAUCAAGAGAGUAUUUCUGAUGAUAUUCUGAGUCAUGCCUUUAUAGCAGCUCCUAUCGGACCUGCCCCUGGCGAAAUCGAGGAUGAAAUAAUGGAAGACUUAACCAACAAUGAAGACCAAUUUCAAGAAGUCAUUGAAGGCGGUGAUUGUGAAUGUAGGGACAAUCAUUGUACAGAUAUAUCGUGUAUUUGUUAUGCUGUAAUGGAGUUCUGCAAGGGAAGAUGCACUUGCCAAGGAUGCAGGAACAUAGAUGAGAUUUUCGGUUCGUGCAAUGUGGAGAAGCCUCAAUUUGAUCAUAAAGACAAAUCACAAGACUUUAGCAACUACAUCUCAGAUCUGCCGUAUGAUUUCAAUGGUCGUUGCUAUUGCAAGAAUGGAUGCUCGAUACAUUUCUGCAAAUGUUACAUUAAUAAGUCGUUCUGUGGAAAUUCUUGCCCUUGCGAAGAUCAUUGCUGGAACAAUGUGGAAAAAAAUGCAAAAGUUGUUGAAAUACGAGAAACGACCGAAUUUAGUAUUACUCUUUCAUGGGAUAUUCUUGUCUUUAAUUCCGAACCAGUAGCACAAGACAUUAUCGAUGAAGCACCCUCAACAAGUACUCUUCCAUCGAAUAUUCUUGAAUCGGAUUCCAAAGAAGUAGCACAAGACAUUAUCAACGAAGCACCCUCAACGAGUACUCUUACAUCGGAUAUUCUUGCAUCGGAUUACAAAGAAGUAGCACAAGACACUAUCAAUGAAGCACCCUCAACGAGUACUCUUAUAUUGGAUAUUCUUGAAUCUGAUUCCAAAGAAGUAGCACAAGAAAUUAUCAGCGAAGCACCCUCGACGAGUACUCUUACAUCGGAUAUUCUUGAAUCUGAUUCCAAAGAAGUAGCUAGCACAAGAAAUUAUCAGCGAAGCACCCUCAACGAGUGGUCGAGCAAAGACUAAAGACAAUAACACUUUGGAAACUUGCUCUACUUUUUUCGUGAAAUGAUUCUUAUUGAACGGGACUGUUUUGUUCUGAGGAAGGCCAAAGUAGGUUGCUCAAUGUGUAACUGAAGAUUCCAACAAGUUGAAGAAGCUGCAAAGGUGUGACAUUGAACAAAUAGAUUGAGAAGCUGCAAAUGUGACUAGUAGAAUAUAUAUAUAUAUAUAUAUAUAGAUAGAUAGAUAGAUAGAUAGAUAGAUACAAUAUAUGUAGUUGUUUUUGGAACUUGACUAUAUUGAUCUGCUAAGCAGAUAAAGUAGAUAUGAACUGUUUGUUUCGUUGAUCUUGGAUCGGAAUCAGAAGUAUAUACAAAUUCUAAUUUUUUGAAAAUCCUAAGGUUUUCAGGAUAGUAUGUUUAUAAUACUAAUACCA